GGGAAUCUUACCGGGUCCGGACACACUGAGGAUUGACAGGUAUUAUAUAAUUGCUCUUCGGAGCUUUUAUUGUUAAAUAUGCUAGUCCUUUCAUGAUUAUGUGAUAGGUGGUGCAUGGCCGUUCUUAGUUCGUGGAGUGAUCUGUCUGCUUAAUUGCGUUUCACUAUAAGGAUCUAUAUUCUUUACAGUGUGCAGUGCAUUGACCCCUUCUUCGGAAGCGUGUGUCUUUACGCUCACACUUCAUUAGGUCCUGAAAGCAACGAACGUGACCGCAACCUCUUGUUGCCUCUGUGCUCCUACACGCUCAAUGCGCUAAACACUGGUUUUCUAGCUUAGUGCGUUGGUUGAGGCUUUCUUAAACUAGAGGGACCGCUGUCAACUUCUUAAACCAGAGGAAGGUUGCGGCAAUAACAGGUCUGUGAUGCCCUUAGAUGUUCCGGGCUGCACACGUGCUACAAUGAUUGUUGCAGUGAGCAUCUCAAUUCUUUACCACACCGCACACGUGAGUCUUUAACGUUUUGUUAAUGCACUUUACGCA
rnacentral:rRNA from 1 species